GAUCAUGGCUCAGGACGAACGCUGGCGGCGCGCCUAACACAUGCAAGUCGAACGAGCGAGAGAGAGCUUGCUUUCUCGAGCGAGUGGCGAACGGGUGAGUAACGCGUGAGGAACCUGCCUUAAAGAGGGGGACAACAGUUGGAAACGACUGCUAAUACCGCAUAAGCCCACAGCUCGGCAUCGAGCAGAGGGAAAAGGAGCAAUCCGCUUUGAGAUGGCCUCGCGUCCGAUUAG
rnacentral:rRNA from 1 species